rfam:Salmo salar isolate Sally breed double haploid chromosome ssa10, whole genome shotgun sequence.
UUUGCACCAAUUUGUAAGUCGCUCUGGAUAAGAGCGUCUGCUAAAUGACUUAAA